GAAACAAGUAAAGAAUUUAUGUUUUUUCUUGUUGUUUGCUUACUCCAUCUCAGACUAAAAUAAUAACACAGAAGCUCCGCUUUGGCUCCGCUGUUGUCUGGAUGAGUGUUUAGAGCAUCAGGCUGGCAACGAGUUUUUCUUCUUGGAAACCAGGAUGAGAAAGCCACGAGUUUUUGUUUUCUGGAGGUUUCUAAACUUCUUCCUCCACACAGAAACACAGAUUCCAAACGUGCUGAAGCAAUGCCUGGAAUGGCUCUUAGAGCACCAGGAGGCUGAAUUACACCCGAGGCAUAAAAGCACGGCCGCGCUCUGCGCGCCUCGUGGCGUCAGGAGUCUGACUGGGAGCCCUUAAGUGCGCCGAGGUCAAUGGCAGCACUCGCCAGCGCCUUCAGCCCCUCUCCCAGACAUUUUAAUGUAUCUGCUCAAUUGCUGCUUUAUUAACCUUGGCUCAAACCCACCCUAAUAACCCCCCCGUCAAUUAGAGCGGUUCCACGAUUCCUAGACAAAGUUAAG